rnacentral:rRNA from 1 species
ACGGCGAGUGAAGCGGCAAUAGCUCAAAUUUGAAAUCUGGCUCCUUUUAGGGGUCCGAGUUGUAAUUUGCAGAGGGUGCUUUGGCGUUGGUAGCGGUCUAAGUUCCUUGGAACAGGACAUCGCAGAGGGUGAGAAUCCCGUUUGUGGUCGCAUGCCUUCGCCGUGUAAAGCCCCUUCGACGAGUCGAGUUGUUUGGGAAUGCAGCUCUAAAUGGGAGGUAAAUUUCUUCUAAAGCUAAAUACUGGCCAGAGACCGAUAGCGCACAAGUAGAGUGAUCGAAAGAUGAAAAGCACUUUGGAAAGAGAGUCAAACAGCACGUGAAAUUGUUGAAAGGGAAGCGCUUGCAGCCAGACUUGCCCGUAGUUGCUCACCUAGGCUUUUGCCUGGGGCAUUCUUCUGCGGGCAGGCCAGCAUCAGUUUGGGCGGUCGGAUAAAGGUCUCUGUCAUGUAGCUUCCUUCGGGAAGAACUUAUAGGGGAGACGAAAUGCGACCAGCCUGGACUGAGGUCCGCGCAUCUGCUAGGAUGCUGGCGUAAUGGCUGUAAGCGGCCCGUCUUGAAACACGGACCAAGGAGUCUAACAUCUAUGCGAGUGUUUGGGUGUCAAGCCCGAACGCGUAAUGAAAGUGAACGGAGGUGGGAACCCUUUGGGUGCACCAUCGACCGAUCCUGAUGUCUUCGGAUGGAUUUGAGUAAGAGCAUAGCUGUUGGGACCCGAAAGAUGGUGAACUAUGCUUGAAUAGGGUGAAGCCAGAGGAAACUCUGGUGGAGGCUCGCAGCGGUUCUGACGUGCAAAUCGAUCGUCAA